rnacentral:tRNA from 1 species
ACCAAAGUAGCUCAGUUGGGAGAGCGUUAGACACAUAGAUCGAAAAGUCCCCGGGAUCGAUCCCGGGUUCCGAUA